CCCUGCCAUUCCCAUCCACAAGUGUGUGGCCAUCGCUCUCUGGAAGCUACCAAUCUGUAGCAAACCAGUUUGGUGUGGGGAGAUCCACUGUCAGAGCAGUGCUCAUGCAGGUGGUCAAGGCCAUCAACAGAGUGCUGCUCCACAGAAUCAUCCACCUCACUGAUGUAGAUGCAGUAAUCGAGUGGUUUGGCGCCCUGGGUUUCCCCAACUGUGUGUGUGGAGGGGGAAAUUGACGGGACGCACAUCCCCAUCCGUGCCCCAGACCACCAGGCCUCCCUCUACAUCAACCGGAAGGGGUACUUCUCGGUCAUGCUGCAGGCUGUCUCUGACCACAGGGGCCAGUUUGUGGACAUCAAUGUGGGCUGGUCCAGCAAAGCACACGACACACAGGUUUACCGCAACUCCUUCAUGUGCCAAAGGCUGCACAUCGGGACUUUCUUCCCCGACCACCACAUCAUGUUCAGGAAUGUGGACGUGCCUGUGUGCCUGGUGGGGGAUGUGGCCUAUCCCCUACAACUCUAGCUGAUGAAGCCCUACAUGGGACACCUCAACCCCUCCCAACAGGCCUUUAAUGCCAAGCUCGGCAGGGCCCACAUCAUGGUGAAGGGGGCGUUCAGCUGGUUGAAAGCCCAUUUUUAGAUGCCUCCUCACCCGCCUGGACCCAUCCGAGUGGAAUAUUCCACAUAUGGUGGCAGCAUGUUGUGUGCUGCAUAAUUUGUGCGAGAAGAAGGGGGAGGCUUUCCUGCCGGGCUGAAUGGCAGAGGCCGACCACUUGGCUGGCCUGUAUGCGCAGCCCCACAUAGCUGCUAGCCGGGGGCCCAUCGGCGGGCUGUUGGUAUCCGGGAGGCCCUGCAGGAAAGCUUCCACCUGAGGAGGACUAAAGUUUCCCGGGUGUGCCUCACUGAGGCCUUGUGCCUCAUUUCACCCUCACGUCCUUUCACUGACCCCUCCCUAACCCCCCUUCCCAUUAAAUAGAGACACAUGUGUUGACGAAAA